rnacentral:rRNA from 1 species
AUUUUGGACAAUGGGGGCAACCCUGAUCCAGCAAUGCCGCGUGAGUGAAGAAGGCCUUCGGGUUGUAAAGCUCUUUUGUCCGGGAAGAAAUCCUUCUGGCUAAUAUCCGGGGGGGAUGACGGUACUGGAAGAAUAAGCACCGGCUAACUACGUGCCAGCAGCCGCGGUAAUACGUAGGGUGCAAGCGUUAAUCGGAAUUACUGGGCGUAAAGCGUGCGCAGGCGGUUGUGCAAGACCGAUGUGAAAUUCCCGGGCUCAACCUGGGAACUGCAUUGGUGACUGCACGGCUAGAGUGUGUCAGAGGGGGGUAGAAUUCCACGUGUAGCAGUGAAAUGCGUAGAGAUGUGGAGGAAUACCGAUGGCGAAGGCAGCCCCCUGGGAUAACACUGACGCUCAUGCACGAAAGCGUGGGGAGCAAAC